AUCCCAUGAUGAGGACACUUACGAAGUAACUCCUUGAAUCACUCCCAAACCUCAUACAAAGACUCAUCAUCCAAUUGUCGGAAGGUUGUGAUCUCGUCCCUUAACUU
rnacentral:snoRNA from 1 species